rfam:Schistosoma mansoni, Puerto Rico, WGS project CABG01000000 data, contig: 0044
GCACUGCUGAGGAGUCCCACAAUAGGACAAAACGGCCUUCUAGUAC